UGAAAAACUGAACAGCAGAAACCAGCGUGCCAGAGGCUAAGGAUGGAGGGAAUGAAGCAUGGACUGUGUGACUCUACCAGGAGCGACCCCUUGGAAGCUUGUAUUUGGUAUCCUCUGGACUUCAUUCAUGUACUUUUUCCCUUUCCUGAUUUUGCUUUUGAUUCUUUUGCUAUAAUAAAUUGAAGCCAUGAUUUGAUGAGGCCUGGGGGAGACUUCCUAGCAAAUUAUUGAACCCUAGAGUGGUUUGGGAGACCCCUGACUUGCAGCUGUAGUCAAAACAUUUUGCAAUUAGAAGGCACUAUUAUCAAUUACAUUAUUUUUAACAUUGAAGUUAUCUGUUCUUUAAGUUUCUAAAGAGUGGUUCCUUGUAAUGCAUAAACUCAUUUUUCUUGGUUGCUCCCAAAAGAAACAUAUUGUGAUCCUCUUCAUUUUCUGAUCUUGAUUCAGUGUGUUACUUUCUCCUAUGGAGCGUUGUUUCAAGAGUUACUUGUAUAACGACAAGCUGAAUGCAUAACAGGCUUGGUUCACUCACCAAUACUCUGGCAAUACUUUAUAUUCUUUGUUAGCACCACUUUUUUUCUGGAAUACUCUGUAUUCUGUUCCCACAUAGAUUUUGAAAAUUUUGCCUUGGUUUUGGUUUUAAUAUUGAAGGAUCCAAGCUCUAUUUCGUCUUUUGUUCUCACACCCCACGCUGGUUUGCAGUUGCCUGUGCCUGUGAUCUUAUUGACCCCAAUCACUUCAAAGGCACUUGGAUCUCAGGACAAGAGCCUUUGAGAAAAAGAUGCUUUGUUUCUUUGGCAGGAAACUUACAAGUGAAAAGUUUUACUUGUAUACUAAUCUUAUUUAAUUGGAUUUAUUUUAUAAAGCGGAGAAAAAGAUAUUGGUACUACCAAUUCCAGGUCAAGAUCACCCUCUCAGCGCACUUUAUACGAAACCCAGAUCACACUUUAGGAAAUGUGAUCAGAGACCUCUGUUAUACUCCACUGGGUUAGAGCCAGUCCUUACUAAUGUGAUGUAAGAACCAAGAACCUGUUAGGCAGACAUAAGAACUCAAAUUAUUCCUUUAAAUCUUGUCAGACAAGCUUAGAGAUGGCAACCUAAAAAGGAGAGAAAGCAAACUCCACAUAAACAUUAGCUUUCUGCCUAAAUCCCUGAAAUCUAUGUCAACUGCAUAUGGGCAGUUUAUCUCUCUAAGAGCAUCCCACUCCCGGUGAUACGCCCAGCUCUGACACAUCACGCACGAUUGUUAUUCAUCAUCUGGUCACUGGGUUUAAGGCACAGCUCAGCCACUUAUUAACUGUGUGACAUUGACCAAGUUAAUCACAUACAUUGGCCUGAAUUUCCUAAUCUGUAAUAUGCAGAUGAUAACAGUAUCUAACUCAUAGUGAUAUUGUUAGGAUUAAAGAGUUUAUACAUAUUCAACAUUUAAAUGACUGCCAGUCACCCAGUAAGCCCAAUAAUCUAAUUACUCAUUAGCAUUAAUAUUAUUGUAGCCACUUGAGGUCACAGUUUUCUUUUCAAACAAAAAGAAAUCCUUGUUUCUUAAGUUGGCAAAGUUCCAUACAGCCCAAUGACUCUCUACUAUGGUUUGAAUCAUUAGAAGAAAAUAUAUUUGACAUUGAACCUUCAAGAAGUGAAAAACAGGAACUAAUCCAAGUUAAAGUGAAAGGGCAGGAAUUACAGCUGGCCGAUGACAUGGAUCACUCCUUUAUUGAGAGCUAAAAAUGGCAGCAUUUUAAAAGACUUUACAUAACUCUUAAAAAGCAAAACGCUCUGUGAUUUUUUUUUUUUCCUGAACUCAAGACUAGCCAAGCAUGAAGUUUCCUAGAAGCCUCUUCUUAAUUAUCUUUUGUCCACCCCACCCCACCUCAACUCCUGGAAAUAAGUCAGCAUCCAGCCACUGCAGCCACCUCGAUGCUAUACCUUAAUUCAUAAAAUUGAAUGAUUAAGACCCAUCAAGCCCUGCAGAUGUUUUUUCAGUCCUAAUAUUUUCAAUAACAACUCGAUAUUGGGUGUUAGGGAAAUCCAAUAAUGCUGCCUCUAAGCCAUAUGUCAAAUGCAACUCAAGUUCCCAAAGGGUUGUGAGAAAUGAUGAAUGCAUUAUCAAGUUUUUGAAAUCUUUUUUCUAAAUGAAGUGCAAAAUAUUUUGAUGAUUAGGAAAUUAGUCAUAGGCUUAUUUAAAGGCAUAUGUGGACACAGUUUACUAUUUUAUCUAGAAGAACUGCCUUAGGCUUAGAUCAUAAAUCUCUGAAACUAAACAUAGCCAAUAAUAUGGAUUUUCUUUUUUAAACUGGCAAAAGGCCCACGCUUCAUGAUUUUGUUCCUGUUUGUUUCUUAAAGAACGAUUUUCCUUAGUGUCACUUCAAACUGUUACAGUUUGUUGACAUGAUGUCAACUUUAGCUCAAGCCUCACUACUUAAAUUGUAAUAUCCAGAAACCAUUUGUAGAUGAGAAUCAUAACACUAAGGAUUACCGCGUUCCAGGGAUUCAUUGGCCAACCUUCUCCAAAGAGACUUUUAGUGAUUUUUUUGAGUAGACAUAAUGCAGGGAGAGGAGAGAGUGUCUCUAAUGUGCUUUUUAUUAUCUGUUCGUUCCCAUUAAUGUCGCCAGAAAUUUUAAAUGCCUUAGAAUUUAGCCAAAACAGAAAUAGAUCAUGGGUUCAGAGAUCUAACAGUCAGACACAUUGUCAUCUUGCUGGAUAUUUUUAUGUUGGGGGGUGUGUGGGUUUGAUACGCAGAGGAAUAGAUGUUAUUCUAUCUUGCAAGUGUCAGGGAAAAAAUCUGAAGCUAUAAUACAAAUCAUUGAAGGAGUCAGAAUGUCCUUGCCUUUAAGGUAUUCACAGUAGCAAAUGUGUGUGUGCACACACAUAUACACAAAUAUCCUGGAAAUUUUCAAAGAUUAGAAUUUGAGAAUAUGAACUAGAUUGCUGGGGAUAAAAAUAGGUAGCAAGUGUCUAUGAAAGGAGGAAAGGAUCAGAGAGAAGGAAAAGGAAGCAGCAUUUAUUGAAUAACUGUGCGACGGAGUAAAUAUGAUUUUACUUGGGUUGACUCUUUUAAUCCUCACCCCAACCCAGCUUAAUCAGCAGUAUUUUAGUGGUGAGAAGCUUAGCUCUGAACAAAAGGUCAGUAGAUUCCAAAAUCCUACCUUUUACCAAAUAUGACACAUUAACUUACCAGACCACGAGCUAUUAAUUUCCUUUCAUGUAAAUGUUAUCCUCUUUAUUUUGGAAAUUUUCCACUAUAUGGUAUACAUGUGUGUGCAAACACACACGCACAUAUUUUAUGUACUGUAUUUAAUACUAUACUAUAAAACAUUCUGAAGGCAAGGGUAUUCUUGCUCCUUUAUGGUACCUGUUAUAGCUUCAGUACCAACUGGUGGAGGCAAUCUCUAGGUGACACAAAAGAAAGUAAAAUUGUAAUCAAUUAACCAAUUAGAAUUGAUUAUCAUCCCCAUUAAAGUUGUUAACAUUAACUGUCCACAUUACUGCAUGUGUUAUAAUCUGCCUGCAUUACUACAAAGGAAUCCAUCCCUGUGACUGUAAUUUAUAAUGAAAAGAGGUUUAAUUGACUCAUGGUUCUUAAGGGUGUACAGGAAGCACGGGGCCAGCAUCUGCUUCUGGUGAGGACAUCAGGAAGCUUACAAUCAUGGCAGAAGGCAAAGGAAGAGCAGACAUAUCACAUGGCGUGAAAGGGAGCAAGAAGAGAGCAGGGAGGUGCCACACAUUUUUAAACAACCAGAUAUCACAUAAACUCACUCAUCCGCAAGAGGGUGGUGCUAGACCAUUCAUAACGGAUCUACCCCUAUGACCCAAACGCCUCCCGCUAGGUCCCACCUCCAAAACUUGGGAUUACAUUUAACAUGAGAUUUGGAGGGGACAAACAUCCAAACCCUAAUACUGCAUUUUAGGGAAAGCCUGAGUAAAAAAUAAACAAAAACUAUGGAAACCCUCUAUCAAAGAAAGUUGUAUGUGUGAUUCGAAUAUACAGAACUAAUACUAAAGAUGGUACUGCUCUGGGGGAAGCAGGGGUGAGCAGAAUUGCCUCCACCUUGGCCUUGCCUGUACACACAACAGCCCGUGAGCCACUGCCUUCGAGCCUCCCAGACUUCACAAAGUACAAUUUUAGAAACAAUUAGACCAGAAUACUUGAGCCCUAUAACCUCAGCUUCCCAGAGCAAUACCUCCAUUGUUUGGCCUCAAUAAGAGAGAUAAUUGUUUAAAAAUUUAACAAUAAUACAACACUGGGUUCUAAUUUCUUCUUCAAUUGUCAAUUAAUGGAUAAAUGGCAGAGUCAGGAGUCUAUGCUAGGAGGUUGUUCCAAAGACAAUUCCCUAAGAAUCUGGACCACAGACUUCAGGGGAAAUUUCUAAGCCAUUCAAUACCAGUAUGAAUAUAAAAAUGGAACAGAGUUUCCUCAUCGAAAUGUUAGUCUAGAAUAUUCCAUUUCAAGUGAAAUAAAGCUGGCUAAUUUUUUGUAGUUUUUAGUAGAGACAGGGUUUCACCAUCUUGGCCAGGCUGGUCUUGAACUCCUGACCUCAUGAUCAACCUGCCUCAGCCUCCCAAAGUGCUGGGAUUACAGGCGUGAGCCACUGCACCCAGCCCAACAAGAUAUAUUUUAAAAUGUACACACUGCCACACAGAAAAUGGAAAAUACAAAAGAGAGAUUAAGACAUAUGGUGUAUUAGUCUGUUUUCACUCUGCUAAUAAAGACAUACCUGAAACUGGGUAAUUUAUAAAGGAAACAGGUUUAAUUGACUCACGGUUUCACAUGGGUGGGGAGGCCUUACAAUCAUGGUGGAAGGCAAACGGGGAGCAAAGUCACAUCUUACAUGGUGGCAGGAAAAAGAGCUUGUGCAGGGGAACUCCCCUUUAUAAAACCAUCAGAUCUCAUGAGACUUAUUCACUACCAUGAGAACAUUAUGGGGAAAACAGCCCCCCAUGAUUCAACUAUCUCUACCUGGCCCUGUCCUUGACAUGUGGGGAUUAUUACAAUUUAAGGUGAGAUUUGGGUAGGGACACAGCCAAACUGUAUCAAAUGGCUAAUAUAUAAAAAGGUAUAUCAUGUAUGUAAUCAGUUUCCCAAAAAGAUAGAAUAAAAACAAUAAUGAGGCAAUAUUUUAAAAUAUCAUGAAUUUUUAUCUAUUUUAGCCAAUAGACAAUAUAAAUCUACAGGUAUUGGAAGCCCAAGAUAUUUCAAGCAGGAAAAAUAGAAACAAAUCCAUGUCUAAAUAUAUCAUAAUAAAGUUGAAAAACAACAAAGACAAAGUAAACGUUGUUAAAGAAUCCAGAAAGGAAGAAUGGGUUACCUAAAAAGGAUGAAAAUAAGAAUGACAAUAGACUACUCAAAAGCAAUAAUAGAAUCCAGAAGACAGUGGAAUAAUAGCUUCAAUGAAUUGAGAUAAAAUAAUUGCCAUUGUAAAAUUUUUUAACCAGCAGAAUUAUAUUCACAAACAAUAAUAAAAUAAAGUCCUUUACAAAUAUAAACAAAUACUGAGAGUUUACCACCAAAAAUCUAAUACUCUUUAUUAAAGAGAUAAUAAUGAAUUACUUCUGAUAAAGGAAAAUAAUCCCAGAAGAUAGUCGAUAUGAGAAAAGGGGAUCAAAGUUAAAUGUAACUAAGGUUCUGAAGUUUUUCCCUAACUAUGAGGUUACCACAUUCAUCUCACAAGCAAGUGGUCCUCAGUUUAAAAUCAGAGAGUGAGGCUGGCUCUUAUCCUUGGCCCUAAAUGACUUCCCAGUAGUUGACAGUUCAGCUCCUGAGAUUCAGUGGCAAAAUAGGCUGGCAUGUUUAACUAAUAAUGAAAUGUUGGUUGGUCAAACCCACCCUGGAAUUAGCUCUUAGUAAGUUGUGCUGGUCUUUUCCUGAUGCUACUUUUUUCUUUCUUUCUAUUAGAAUAACUCACUUGACUUAUGUUCUCACCUGGCUCAAAUAGUAUGUUUUGCGCCUAGUGAUGACAUUCCCCUACUCCCCGCACCAAUCCAGGGCCUUAGUUGAGAAGUCACUAUUGCAGCCACUGAAGCUGAGGCUGAAUCUUGACAUCUCUGAGUCACCCUUUCUUAAAAGCAAUAUCUUAAGAAGUUUUUUCCUACAAUACUUCUCAGCUAGCCUUUAAUACUGGGCAAUAUCCAAGUCAAAUAAGAACCCUCACUUCUCUCUUUGUUCAAUCACUCCCAAGGUGAGUUCUCCACUCUUAGAGAAUCUUGCAGGUAAAAUGUUGGCUUGAGCCUGAGGUAUAAUAGCUUAUUUUUACUAGCAUUUUGUUUGUUCAACUGGUUUGGCAUUUGGGAAGAGAGAUUCUACAGUCCUUUUUAAAGCCAUUAACUUCACACUAGAAUUAAAAUACAUUUCUAAAGGGGAAGGAAAAAACAUCUGCCUAAUGUUUAGAUAAUGCAGUAGCUUGGAAGAUGCAAACUGGGGCAAUUAGUGCACUGAAAACUUUAUCCAAGGAAACUCCCUAGUGUGCAGGAUAAAGAGGUAAGUAAUGAAAAAUGAGACGUUAGCAAACACACAGGAUAGAAUUAGAAGAUUCAAUACACUCUAUAGAAGUAGAUUAAUAUAUGCUAUACAGAAGAUAAAUUAUUCAAAAAAUGGCUGAAAUGUUCCAAUAUUGAAGAAAAACAAGAAGAUACGUCACUGAAGGAGUACCUCUAAUACCAAGCUGGCUGCGGAGCACACUUGCAUUCUUGCACUUGACACACCAUAUGGUGAGUAUUGAUUUUCUUGUCUAUCUCCUCACUCAGAAUUAAGCCAAUUGAGAGCAGGAAAUCUAUCAUAUUCUUUUUUGUAUUACUAGCACCCAUGCAGAGAUUUGCAAAGCUUAAUAAACAUGUGUUGCUCACAGAGGGUAGAAAAUAGAAGAUGUUUAUUAAGAAAAUAAUUACUACACAUUUGUUGAAUAAAGGGGGCAUGCACUGUGGAGUGUGACCAUUUUUCCUGCAGAUGUUUGUAUGACAUCAGCCUUUCCCAUCUAUAGGAUGCUGCAGCUGGGGUUGGGGAGGGGAAGAUAGCUCCGUUCUGAAGAGAAGAGUUCACUCGAGGGCUAUGAUUUCUGAGACCUGCUCUGUAGCCUUAUUUAUUCUUCCUAUUUAUCCUAAAUAGGAAUCUGGUUGUGUGUAAAACAGAGAAUUGACAUCAACCUGAAGCACAUGGAACAAGAGCAAAGGACUGAAUAAUAUACAAAAAAGACAGGUGUUUCAGCAAAGCAACUGACCAGCAUUCCUUCCUGAUAAGAAACCGCCAUCCAUGGAGUGGUUCUGGCCAGUCUAUGGAGAAUGUAGUGAAGGUUUUCAUGUCUUCUGCUUCACUUUUUGACAUUAGAAGGCCAAAAUCUCCACCUUGGAUUAUGCUAACACCUCCAUUUAUUGAACAAGGGUCAUGUCCCUUGUCCCAUGAACAAGGACAAAAAGCAUGAAGUUCAACUGUGCAUGUGCAUGUUUCUCCUUUCAUAAAUAUUCAUGACUGUUCCCAUAGCUUAUUGAAUAUGUAUAUCUGGCCACCCCAUUCAGCAUAAAUUCCUGCCUUACUCUUCAAGUGUCAUUCCAGGAUUCUGACCGGAGGGAGGCGACACUUCCCAGCCUGUCAGAAUGGCCACCCUGCAGGCUGCAACUCUUUAUGGGAAAUAAAGCUCUCCUUUCCAAAU
rnacentral:lncRNA from 1 species